rnacentral:rRNA from 1 species
UACGUAGGGUGCAAGCGUUAAUCGGAAUUACUGGGCGUAAAGCGUGCGCAGGCGGUUUUGUAAGUCUGUCGUGAAAUCCCCGGGCUCAACCUGGGAAUUGCGAUGGAGACUGCAAGGCUAGAAUCUGGCAGAGGGGGGUAGAAUUCCACGUGUAGCAGUGAAAUGCGUAGAGAUGUGGAGGAACACCGAUGGCGAAGGCAGCCCCCUGGGACGUGACUGACGCUGAGGCGCGAAAGCCAGGGGAGCAAACGGG